rnacentral:rRNA from 1 species
UACGUAGGGACCGAGCGUUAAUCGGAAUUACUGGGCGUAAAGGGUGCGUAGGCGGCGCGGUAAGUCGGGUGUGAAAUCUCGGAGCUUAACUCCGAAACUGCAUUCGAUACUGCCGUGCUUGAGGACUGGAGAGGAGACUGGAAUUUACGGUGUAGCGGUGAAAUGCGUAGAUAUCGUAAGGAAGACCAGUGGCGAAGGCGGGUCUCUGGACAGUUCCUGACGCUGAGGCACGAAGGUCAGGGGAGCAAACGGG